UCCCAUGCUGUGACCCUCUAGAGGAAGCACUUUCUGUUUGUUGUCUGAGAAAAAACAAAGUGCUUCCCUUUAGAGUUACUGUUUGGGA
rnacentral:pre_miRNA from 10 species